rnacentral:rRNA from 1 species
GACGAACGCUGGCGGCGUGCUUAACACAUGCAAGUCGAACGGAAAGGCCCUGCUUUUGUGGGGUGCUCGAGUGGCGAACGGGUGAGUAACACGUGAGUAACCUGCCCUUGACUUUGGGAUAACUUCAGGAAACUGGGGCUAAUACCGGAUAGGAGCUCCUGCUGCAUGGUGGGGGUUGGAAAGUUUCGGCGGUUGGGGAUGGACUCGCGGCUUAUCAGCUUGUUGGUGGGGUAGUGGCUUACCAAGGCUUUGACGGGUAGCCGGCCUGAGAGGGGGACCGGCCACAUUGGGACUGAGAUACGGCCCAGACGCCUACGGGAGGCAGCAGUGGGGAAUAUGGCACAAUGGGCGGAAGCCUGAUGCAGCAACGCCGCGUGCGGGAUGACGGCCUUCGGGGUGUAAACCGCUGUCGCCUGUGACGAAGCGUGAGUGACGGUAAUGGGUAAAGAAGCAACGGCUAACUACGUG